GUGUUUAUAGUUUAACUGGAUAAAGCAUUAAAUUACGAAUUUAAGGAUUGAAAGUUCGAAUCUUUCUAAACACA
rnacentral:tRNA from 1 species